UACAGAGGUCUCAAGCGUUGUUCGGAUUCAUUGGGCGUAAAGGGUGCGUAGGCGGUUUGAUAAGUUUGAUGUGAAAUCUCUGGGCUCAACCCAGAGUCUGCAUCGAAAACUGUCGGGCUUGAGUAUGGGAGAGGUGAGUGGAAUUUCCGGUGUAGCGGUGAAAUGCGUAGAUAUCGGAAGGAACACCUGUGGCGAAAGCGGCUCACUGGACCAUUACUGACGCUGAUGCACGAAAGCUAGGGGAGCAAACAGG
rnacentral:rRNA from 1 species